ensembl:lncRNA
CCUUCCUCCCCCCUCACCCCCUCUCUCCCUGCCUUCCCUCUUUCCUUCCCUCCUCCCUUCCUUCCUCUCUUCCUCUACCAUCCUUCCUCCCUCCCUCUCUUCUUUCCUCCCUUCCUUCAUUCUUCCCUCCCCUUCUUCCAUUUGUUUUAGUUCCUUCCAUUCAGAGAGCAUUGUCUUAUGACAUUACAGAGGACUUUUGCUUCUUCCUGGGAAACUGAGUUCCACAUUUGCAAGGAGGGGGCUGUGGGCAGCAGAAAGGGAAUACUUUUCAUUUGCUCCUACUGAAACUGUCUUACGAAUCCCAAAAGUUUUAAGCUAGAUGUCAAUCAAAAGGCAGCAGCUUUAUGCCACUUACAUGCCUUCUGAAAGAGAUCUAUGUUUCUUAUAGUGGGGAAGCAAACAAACAAACAACUGCCUCAAAUGGAUUUGGGAAUUUUGAAAUGCUGAAUUUAAUAUGUGAAAUCUGUGCUGUUAGCAUUCAGAAUAAAGCGGUCUGAAAUGCCCUGCUGUCACAGCACAAAACCAAGAGCACCUCUUCAUCUUCCCUCCGGCCAACGAAAGGGGACAGGAUUUUCAGUGAAACCCAGAUGUUGCUGUGAGUAUAUGUGUGCAUUUAUUAACAGAUAAUAGUGGAGGACUGCAAUUUAUAUCUGCAGAAGCUGAAAUAAUUAAGGAGGGUUGGGUAUUAAUGGAUGUAUGUUUUGAACAAUCUCAAAAACUUCUUUGUGUGGAAAAUUAAGAUCCUUGCUGAUAUUGAAAUAUCUCAGAUUGUUGUAAACCCAUGUUUCUAAUAUUUUAACUGGGAAUCACUUUCAUGGUCCGGCACUGCUGAUGCUGCCCCUUCAGAAGCCAGAAAAUGUCAGAUAUCUCAGUAUUUUCAGGAUUGUUUUGUUCCCAUUCAGCCUGACAGACAAAAAGGAGGGUUCUGAGGGAAGCUCUUAUUUCCUCCCUUCCCAUCUCCCUUUGCUCUUGCAAUAGCACCAUUGUACAGCACCGUUAUGCCAAAUUUUUUACAUAGAGACAGACUCGCCUGUCCCACAUUGUCAUUUCGACACUGUUUUUAACAAAGAUGUAUUUUCUGAGGAUCAUGUUUGAGAAUAAAUGGCUUUGGGUCUAGCACUAGUAAAAGAAGAAAAGCAAAUCCAAAGAACCCACUCAUUGAGUUCAGAGUAGCUACAGGGCAAUGCUGCAUCUUGCUUUUUAGGUGAAAUCUGCAAUUUUGUUUAUCCAGAGCAAUCUGUAACAGCUCUAUGGUAAAGCUGCUUUGAGGUUUAGUUUUGAAGUUUACUGCUCCCAGUUUUCAUUUAUUCCGUCAUAAUACAUGCAUAAAACAUUUUUAUUAUGUGGAUAGUAAUUUGCAUGAGCACAAGGACUUUAGCUCAAAUGCUCAUGAACAAGACUGUUCUUCAGUCGGGUCAACUGGAAGUUAUUCUGCUUUACUACAGGGCUUUCAGUUAAUUAAAUUCAAAGAACCUGUUCAACUGCUAAGGCCUGUUAUAGUCCAGAUAAGAAAAAAAAUACAUUUUUUCAUCAGUCUCUGGGGACAGACACUGCUGAUGCUCCUCCUGCUGUAGCCACAAUACAGUGGGCCACAAUACAAGUGAAAAGGAGGAAGAAUGUCCUGCCCAAAGUAUUUCAGUGGGACAUACACGUCUGUGACGAACACAGAAAGGACUAUUCAGAUGCAUUUUGUUAUAUGGAAUGAACUACAUUUCUGAUCUUCUAAUGCAAUGAAUAUUGUGCUCUGCAAGUAAUGUAAUUAACACAGGAAAAAGAGGAGUGAACUGCAUUUACAGUAGAAGUGAACUUUACCUAAAAUUAUCAUUUCAGAAAAUUGACUGUUCUUCUAACUGUUGGUAAUUAUUUUUUCCUUUUUUUUCUUGAGUUCCUCUUUAUUUGGAUAGGUAAUAAAAUUAGUUUUGAUCCUGCACACUGAAGGAGAAACCCUAGUGGCCACAUUCUGACUCUACUUGAACUAGUGUAGGAACUCAUACGGAAAAUUAAGUGAAAAUCAAUUAACAGUUGCCCCGGGCAUUUGAAACAAAUGCCAGGAAUCCCUAAAUGUUUCUCAGUUCUGUAUAAAUCAUAGCUGACAAGUGGUGGUAUCUCUGCUUCCACUGAAAAUUUGCUUUGUUACAGUAAAAAUUCUUUUAUUAUAUAUAGUUGCUGAUGUACAUAUAUAUAUGUAUUAACCGUCUACAUUUUCUCAUGUGCAUCUUCCAUAAAUCUCCUUUUGAGUCUCUUCCAAAGAAACUAACCUAUGCUUUUGAAGAAAAGAUGACUACCUGGUUGAAGAAAAGGAGUAAUGGAGAACACAUUCUUCAAGACAGAAAUCUUCCAGACUUCUCCCAGGUUUAAUUGGAGGUGCUUUGUAAACCUUUGAUGGUUAAGGACACCAGAUUUUGGAGUGAAAUGCUGGUGUAUGUAUACCAUUUUCAGUUUUAUAAGAUUUAGACCUGACUUCAUGGCCACUCAUUGCAUCUUCCUGUUGGUGAGGGUUAUGGAUAAGGUGUGGGUAGUUAAAGAAGAGCAAAUGAAGCAUGCUAGUUCAUAGAGUUGGGGGGAAGAAGCUGGUGCAAUUGUGAUUUUUCUUUUUGCAAGCAUCGUAGAGGCUGGCUUUCAGAUAAUGUAGAUGUGUGAGGAUGUGUUUUGUCUCAGGAAUCAAGCUGGAGUCCAAGUCUGACAUUCAUUACUGUGCUGUGCAUUACCACAACUCUAGAAAAUAUUCUUCCAGCAAUUUAAAUUUAAUAUUUCACAGUCACUUUCAAACAUCAUCAGGCUGGGUCAGUACUUUCCUUUUUGUCUUUAAGUUGUAAAAAUUUUAUCUUCUCUACCUAAUAAAACACAUGCUGCACUCAAAAAUCUCUCAUUCCUUCUUGCAAAGGUGACAUAGCGAAGCUGUACAUAUACCACUCUUGGUAUCAAAUGUAAUUAUUGAUGUAAGGAACGUAUCAGCCCUGGCCUGUGUGAUGCUGCUAUUUCAUCUGCAGGCAUCCUUCUCCAAGCCAUAUAAACACACUGCUCCAGUGUUGUGCUUUCUUCAGCCCUUAGUUGACUGUAUAACAUUUUUGAAUGAGUUGUGUUUUGUACAUAGCCCGUGAAAUCAGUUUGUGCAGCAAUUGGUUGCUUUCCAGAAGAGUGCUGUAUGAGUGUAAGUCAUUAAUGUCGUCAUUAUCCAAGGAAAAGGAUGAAAAUAUGCAGAUAUAUUUCUUAGUGUAGAUGUAAUUAUAGCAUUUUGCAAGACUAUUUAAAUAGUACUUAUUUGGCAUAGUGGUUGCUAUUUAGUUUUAAGCAAGAUGAAAGGUAGAUCAUUUUUGCUUAUUUUUGUUCCAUUUUAAUGCAGUGCUAUUAAACUAAGCAAAUUUCAGAUUGGAGAGAGGGAAGUAAUAGGAUGAUUUGAAAAACAGCAAUGAAAGAGAAUGAAAAAUGAAAAUAAUUGUUGUUUUUUAGAGAUAAAAUUAACGUCGCAAACAGCAGUAAAACCAUAACUGCCUCUAACUUUUUCAUCUGCUUCUAUCUUUUUCAUCUUGAGAUCCCAGAAGCUUGAAAGCACAAAAGAAACAGCUUGUGGAAAAUCUGUGAAGUCCAUCUAUUUCUACAAUAGGAUUAUUCAUCACCACAUGUUUUCCCCAUCUGGAAGUAAAGGGACAAAAUGCUGAAACCACCACCGUCUCACUUGCAAAUUGCUCCACAGUCUAACCAGUCAUGCUAUUGAGAAGAUAUGCCUGCAGUUCAACCCAAAUUCUCUGUUGCUGUGUUUUGCACAUGUUCAACAAACUCAGCUUCCUUCUUGCGGUGAGGAGUACUCAAGAUGUGGUCUUAUCAGUGUCAAGCACUGAGGGACAAGCAGAACAAUUCAAAGGCUAUGACUAUCCUUGAGACCUUGUAGCACCUGCACCUACAGAAACUGUCCACAGAGGCCUUACCGGACCAUGUUUUAUUGUCAUUGUUUCUGGGCAAAGGUUUUAUAAUGCAGCAGUGGAGUCCAUCUUGCUGAAGCAAUGGAGACAGAUAGUGAUGGAGCUGCCAGAACAACCUGUAAAUUAUCUGCCCUAAAAUCCUCAAAGAGCACUUUGUGCUGAAAAGAAGGCUGUUCAAGGCAGGAGGGGAAGAAUUUGAUCUUGCCUACAUUUGUUGUACAGGAACAGAAAGGAGGAGUGCUUUAUUCAUCAAGUGAACACAGCACUUUAAAAAUUCAACUAAGUCAAUAUAGGAAUACGUUUAAAAUGUAUUCACCUUCAGAGAGAGAUUUCCUGGACUGACAGAACUGCCAAUGGGUAUGAGUUAUUGCUUAGCAAAAGUUGCUGCAAAGGAUGCUGUACCCAUCACCUCUGUGAAGGGGUCUUAUGUGGAACAAGCUGCUAAGAAAGUUAUGGCCAACAGAAGUUCUGCCUUUGACUGGUGCUUUGGUAACUACCUGUGGGGAUAGUCUGCUGUUAUUCUAUUUUUCUUCCUUCUUUGUCAGAGAAAAUGGCAGUCUGGUGACAGUGUUCUUGAGAAUAGCAACUUCAUUCUACCAGGUUCUGCUGGUAGAGUAGAAGUGGAAAGUCCUGCCUGAGAACGUGCAUUGUAGAAGCACUGCUACCAAAGCUGGCAGCUCUGCCAAAACCCAGAACAUGAGUGCUUUGGGGAUGCCCUGGUAGGAACUUAGGUCAGUGCUGGCCUUGGGCCAUCCAGAGUAAGAUGUGAACUGCCUGGACUACGGCAUUACUGGGCAGAAAGAGUGUCUGAUCCCUUCAUGAUUUCAACUUCAGAUUUGCACACCUUAUAUUUACCUCUGAGUACUUUGUAGCACAUUUUGAUAUUUAUGCUUUGACUUUAAUUCAGAAAGAAUCUGGAGAGGAAUAAGAGAGAGGCUAAAAAUGUGCAAGACAAAAAAUACAUGUGUGAUUUCUGAAAUCUGACAGUGUUUAGGAGGGGAAAUAGAAGCUACACUGCUGAUUAUUUUACUUUAUUCUCCCAAUUGAAUGUGAUUUUUUUUGUUUUGUUAUUUUUUAUUUUUCUUUCUAUGCUAUGUAUGGAUGAUACCAGGCCAGUUCCUACCCAAAGGCUUGCUUAAGUGCUUUCAAUCUUACUUGCUUACUUUGCAUCUACAGUAACAAGGAUUCAGUUGUGAGUAAGCCUCAGCAUUUUACUUUAGUUCAAAUGAUUUCUAACUGGAAUAUCAGUGAAUCUUUACCUUCAGGUCAUCCGUGCUCUUUUGUAAGAAUGAAUUUCAGUAGCUUAAAAAUGCUCAGAGUUCGUGAAUGACAGUGAUAACUCACUGCUAUGAAACUUCCUGUAAGUGUGCACCCAUCUCCCUAAAUAAGUAGAAAUGGGUUUCAAAUAACAGGCUCUUCUGUUUAUAAGAGUGGUAAUUAGAAGUGCAUUAAGGAAACCCUCAUUUCAGAAGCAGGCGUAUGAUAUCUAUGAAGUUUCCUGCUUUUUUCCUUUUCUAUAUAUGUUUGAGGCUCCUGAUUGUCUAAUGAGAUUAGGGUAAAUUUGAAAUUAAUUGUAUCUUGUAUAUGUUUUUGAAAUAACAGGCAUAAAGCUACAUUAACUUGUUUCCAUUUGUGAAAGCAGCCUGUUUUCCUUGGUACGUAAGUAACUUCAUGGUUACUAAAGUCUUACUUAUACCCUUUGAAUUGUAUGAGCAAACCUUUCUCUAUUUUAUGUGUUCAUGAAGAUAUUGAAGAAAUAUCAGCAGCUUUGUAUGCAAGUAGACGAGUGAAGUUGGCAUUUAAACUCUUGAAAAUUACAUAACAGCUACUAGUGUUAAGAAAUUAUAGAUAUGAUGAAGGAAGAGCUGUGAAUUUACAUUUAGAAAUUAACCCAGCUGGGUUUUGUAUGUGAGUGAAAGGUGAAGGAGAGAUAUUUUUAAAAGCUAUUAUUAUGCAUCAGCAAGGUGUGUGUCAUUAACGAAUUAUUUUGAGAAUGCCUUACUAAGACAGUGGUGGUAAUUAGUCUUUAGAUUUGUAGAAGGAAUGUGAUAUUCCUUUUAAUUGGGAAAGUUUUCCUGCCUCUGGGCACGCGCCCUGAAGUGGAGAGGGGGGGAGAGUAGAGGAGAAGGGAAAGUAGGAGGGGAGUGGAGGGAAGAGGUGAGGAAGGAAGGAGACUCAGUGGACUUUAAGAAUUGUCCAUCCUUUUCCAAAAUAGUCAGCAGUGCUACUGAAAAGCCUUCCUUCUGAAUGAUAUUAUCCUAUCCUAACAUUACUUUGAAGUUUUCUACCCCUAGAUGAAUUCUACAUUCAUUAAUGUCAGCAAGCCUUUUUUUUUCUGGACUAUUGAGGCCAUCUUUCCUGCAAAUGACCUUAACAGCUGCAAAGAGAAAAGAUAUGAUAACAUUACAUUAAAACACACACUAUGGUAGUUCUCUGAAAAUUUGGAGAUUUUGUUAGGUUUCUGGCUGAGUUUAUGAAUUUACUGUAUGCAAAGCUGCAAUGGAUUUUUCAGUUCCCUCCACUAGUUCCCCCAAGCCUCAGGUUACGAGAGAAAAGCCAAAAAUGCAGGGCAAUGUCAAUUAUAGGAUAGCUAGAGGCAUUAUGUUCCCCUCUCCCAAGCUGUUCUCAGCAGUGACUUAUUGCCACACUUCAGAGAACAAAUUAAGAUGCUCUGCAGUGAUGGAUCCCAAAAACUUGUUUGUCCUGAGAGCCAAGGAAGAGAAAAAGGUGUGGCAAACAGUGAAUGCACCAGAACACAUGAAGCUAAGGGGAUGUGGAAAUAUAAUGUUGAAAUACCCAGUCUAUCUUUCCUUCUCUGCCCUAACCUACAGGAAAAACAAAAUCAGUUAUGUGUUUUGACUUUCUGUGAAAUAGAGGGAGCAUUAGACCUUCUGCAUUCAAGGAGGGAACCAUGGACAUAAGAAUAGCUGCUUAUCUUCAUUUGUGGUCUUGGAGAUGAAUAAGGAAUGAGUGACAAUUUGUAUUCACUACUGAGUACAUAACACAACUGUUCGAGAGAAGAUGCAGGUCUCCAAAAUCUACCAGCUGCCAUGCACUGGGCUAGUUUGGCAACGUCCAUCUUACCACUCGUGAAAGUAGGCCUUCGCAUAUUUGUGUAAUUCAGCAAAGGAUGUGGUCAAAUUAUUGCCUUUGUCUCUUUUUAUUCUGAAUUACCUCCAGAACUAAGGUCAAAUAAGGAAAAACUAUCCCACAGCAAAAGAGAGAAGUAAAGAGACAUACUGGUUAGCUUCUCACUGUCUGCUAAACUGCAUGAAGUCUACUUGAAAUCUCUGAUCUACACUAACAUACCAACUUAAAAAAAAAUCCACAAAUGCUAUACCCUGCAACUAGAAAAGUAGGCAGCUGGGUUAAACUUGUAAAUAGUGAGUCAGGCUCCUCAGAUUCUGGGGAAGACUGAAGAUGAGAGGAAGCAGAGUAACUGCUGGCCCUUUGGUAUGGAACACAGGCAAAGUCAGGGGACAACAAUGGCAAAAGUUCCCUGGUCUAUGGGGUAUUUGGGACGUGAAUCCCCUUCCUGAGGGUGAAAGUGGUGCCUGAAAGAGUCAUGUACAGAGGUCAGUGCGUUAGGCUGGUGAGUGUCCAGGAGGAAACACUCCUGGAGGACAGCAAUACAAUAAGUUUAAGAAAAAAAAAGGCCAGAACAUAAAUUCUUGCCACCCUUUAAAAUUUAACAAUAUUAAGCAUAAUCAUUUGGCAGUUCACUUAAUCUCAGUGGCAAAAAUAACUGGUUAUACGUUAUUAUUGAAGAUUAAAAUCUUAAAUCUUCCAUCAAGGCGGGGAGGGAGCAGGAGGUGCUAGAUAUGACUUUUGUCAUAUCAGGACCCUAAUGAAUUCUGCAAAAAAAGAAUUCUUAUGAAAUAUCCUUUCCAUUCAGCUAUUAUCUUUGGCUGUAGCAAUUACUCAUUUGCUCUAAACUGAAAUCCAACAACAUGAAGCACAGCUAUUCUCUUUCAAACUAAAAUCAGUAUUGGCAGGAUGACUGAAACUAUUUGCUUCCAUUAAAGGCAAAAUAUGUCCUAAGUGGUCACAAGUGUGCCAUCUUCCUCAGCUGUCAGUGCCUAAUUUGAAAUAUUUAAUUUAAAACAUUUUUAAAGCAGGCUGGUUGUCUCUGUUGCUCUGAGCUUACAUCUCCUACAUUCUAUUUCCAAUACCUGCCCCCACAUCCAUUGGCUGCUUCUGAUGUGCUAACGCAUUUAGAAAUGUGACUUUCCUCAUCUAUGCUAGACAAAAAGUCUAAUGCAAGAUCAUGUUGGUGAGUUCAUUCUAGAACACCAUCUUCUCUGGCCUUUUGUUAUGGGAGAAGCAACAGGAAGGAAACUGAGCUCCAACUACUGCUCCAGUAUGGUCAGCAAGAUGCACAGGAGGGAAAUUCUGUAUCCAGCUUGUGGAAGGUAUGGCAUGCCUCUUUCAGAUCCUCCUCAGAAGGGCAUCUACAUCACAGUAGUGCGGCCAAAGAUGUGGUGGAGAAGCCAUGAGAGAGGAGUCCCAGAGAGAACCUCAUAAUCCAUAGAAUCAUAGAAUCAUUAACAUUGGAAAAGACCUCUACGGUAAUCUAGUCCAACCACCAAUCUGUCCCCACCAUGCCCACUAACCACCUCCCUAAGUGCCACAUCUACACCUUUUAUUAACACCUCCAGGGACUCCACCACUUCCCCAGGCAGCCUGUUCCAAUGCAUUAACACUCUUUUGGAGAAUAAUUUUUUCCUAAUAUUGAACCUGAACUUCCCCUGGCACAACUUAAAGCCAUUACUUCUUGUCCUAUCACUAACUACAUGGGAGAAGAGGCCAACCCCCAUCUUGCCACAGACUCCUUUCAGGCAGUUGUAGAGGGCAAUAAGGUCUCCCCUGAGCCUCCUCUUCUCCAGACCAAACAAUUCCAUUUCCCUCAGCUCACCCCAAGACCUGUGCUUCAGAUCCUGGAUUAAUCUUCUGUGCACUUGAAUAAAAAUGUAGUUUCUACUGAAAGACAAAACUUUUCAUGCAAAGAGAGGACAAUUCUGUUUAAAAACAACAGUAAGUACAUCAGAGACAUUGUAUUCAUCCUACAUUCUGAAAAAAAAAUGCCAAUAAUAAAGCUCUAUCUAGAGAACUGUGGAAGGAAAAAGAUUUUUUGAUAUCUUUUUUUCUAAACAAUUAAAGCUGAAGCAUUCAGCAUUUUGGAUCCAGUGUAAAUCCUCGCAUUCCUGGGCAAUAUAUAUACAUAUUUUCUGUCAGCAAAUCCUUAGUUUCCACAUUAGUUAAUGUUCCACCUGCUGUAUAAACCCAGAGAAGCUGUCUCUUGCAACUGUAGUGUUCUCUUCUGGCAGUCCUUUUUUCUUCCUUUUUCUUCUGUCAAAUAUGCAGAAAAUACCUUUGAAAAUGUACACAGUGUUCACAGUAAAUGGAAAUAACACAGAUGCACGCGUGUACAUUUAUGGAAGUGUAAUAAUUCUGAGAACAGUACAGAGAGCUCAGUUAACAGACUACAGUAAACGAUGCCAGGUUACCUAAACCUCAUAGUCCCAAAAGGAAGGAUUUUAGACAGCUUGCUGAUGUUCACAGUGUCAUGACGUAUGUCAGCACCAAGCCCACGUAACGGGUUUAAAUGAUCUAUUGACCUCCAACGGAUAUUAUGAACAUGGGUAUCAUCCUUCAUUGUUAAUAAAAAGGGAACCAACUGAGACAUUUUGAUUCUUGUUUGUCCUGCUUCACCGUUAUUCAGACCCUUCCAUAUUGGAAAAGCAUGAAGAGACAGCAAGCAGUUUCAAUUCAGUGUUUCUGAACUGGGGAUCCAUUGUGAUAGGAAAGAUUUAAAGUUAAAGUGAGAUGAAAGAUGUGGCCCAAAUGAGCAAAAGUGGUUGGUGGCAGGAAAUUCGCUGAUGCUAAUUUGUACUGCUUAGAAUAUUUUCUCCAAACUGCUAGGUGGGAGGGUAGCUAGUUGAUCCCUCCAGAAAGCCCAGGAAAAGCCCAUGCUGUUUCCAUAGCCUCUCUGUGAAGCCUGCUCCAGAGUUCUGCCAACCUCAAAGUAAAGAUUUUUCUCAUGUUCUUAUGGAACUUUCUAUGCUCCAGUCUGUGCCUGUUGCCCUUUGUCCUGUCACUGGGUACCACUGAAAAGAGCCUGGCUCUUUAACUCCCGCCCUUUAGAUAUUUAUAAGAGUUCUAAGAUUUCCUCUCACUCUUCUCCAGGCUGAACAACCUCUGGUCUUUUAGUCUUUCCUUAUAAAGGAGAUUCUCCAUGCCCGUAGCCACCUUUUAGGCUUUCCUCUGGACUCUUUCCAGUAGUUCCUCAUCUUUCUUGAACUGAGGAGCCCAGAACUGGACACAGUACUCCAAGUGAGGCCUCACCAGGGCAGAGCAGAGGGGGAGGAUCACCUCCCUUGAUCUGCUGGCUAUGCUCUUUCUAAUGCACCCCAAGAUACUGUUGGCCUUGUUGGCCAUAAGGGCACACUGCUGGCUCAUGGCCAUCCUGCUGUCCACCAGAACACCCAAGUCCUUCUCCACAGAGCUCCUCUCCAGCAAGUCAGCCCCUAACCUGUACUGAUGCAUAUGGUUCUUCUUUCACAGGUGGAGGACUCUGCCCUUGCCCUUGUUGAACUUCAUCAGGUUCCUCUCCUCCCAGCUCUCCAGUCUGUCCAGAUCUUGCAGAAGGGCAGAGCAUCCUUCUGGUGUGUCAGCCAUUCCUCCCAGCUUUGUAUCAGUUUCACACUGAUAAAAGGGUCAAUGUACACUAGCUAUUCUUAGCCACUUUUUCAUAAUUUGCAUUUAAAAAGCUAUCACAUAUCUUUUAAUUCCCUUGUUAUACACCUGUAAAUUCUCACUGUAUGUUUUGCUGAUAUUUAUCACCAAUGAAAGUUCAUUCACCCCAGAUCCCUCAUUUAGGAAAGGAAUAUAUGGGGGUAUUGUCUGAGCUCUAUCUUUCUUAAUGCCACAGUACAUGAAGAAAAUGAAGCAAAAUAAAAUAAAAUAAAAUAAA